rnacentral:rRNA from 1 species
UGCAGUCGAACGGUGGAGCCCAGCUUGCUGGGUGGAUCAGUGGCGAACGGGUGAGUAACACGUGAGCAAUCUGCCCCUGACUCUGGGAUAAGCGCUGGAAACGGCGUCUAAUACUGGAUAUGAGCUGCGAUCGCAUGGUCAGUAGCUGGAAAGAUUUUUUGGUCAGGGAUGAGCUCGCGGCCUAUCAGCUUGUUGGUGAGGUAAUGGCUCACCAAGGCGUCGACGGGUAGCCGGCCUGAGAGGGUGACCGGCCACACUGGGACUGAGACACGGCCCAGACUCCUACGGGAGGCAGCAGUGGGGAAUAUUGCACAAUGGGCGCAAGCCUGAUGCAGCAACGCCGCGUGAGGGAUGACGGCCUUCGGGUUGUAAACCUCUUUUAGCAGGGAAGAAGCGAAAGUGACGGUACCUGCAGAAAAAGCGCCGGCUAACUACGUGCCAGCAGCCGCGGUAAUACGUAGGGCGCAAGCGUUAUCCGGAAUUAUUGGGCGUAAAGAGCUCGUAGGCGGUUUGUCGCGUCUGCUGUGAAAUCCCGAGGCUCAACCUCGGGUCUGCAGUGGGUACGGGCAGACUAGAGUGCGGUAGGGGGAGAUUGGAAUUCCUGGUGUAGCGGUGGAAUGCGCAGAUAUCAGAGAGGAACACCGAUGGCGAACGCAGAUCUCUGGGCCGUAACUGACGCUGAGGAGCGAAAGGGUGGGGAGCAAACAGGCUUAGAUACCCUGGUAGUCCACCCCGUAACGUUGGGAACUAGUUGUGGGGUCCAUUCCACGGAUCCGUGACGCA